rnacentral:tRNA from 1 species
GGACCUGUAGCUCAGCCGGUUAGAGCGCUUCCCUGAUAAGGAAGAGGUCGGAGGUUCAAGUCCUCCCAGGUCCA